rnacentral:rRNA from 1 species
UAUCUCUGUAGAGUCUGCAUAUCAAUAAGCGGAGGAAAAGAAACUAACAAGGAUUCCCUUAGUAACGGCGAGUGAAGCGGGAAGAGCUCAAAUUUGAAAUCUUCAAGGUUCUACCUUGACGAAUUGUAGUUUAAAGAAGUGUUUUCUGUUGGAGUUUUGGUAAAAGUUCUUUGGAAUAGGACAUCAUAGAGGGUGAGAAUCCCGUAUUUGACCAUUUCUUCCAGCUGUGUGAUACACUUUCAAAGAGUCGGAUUGUUUGGGAAUGCAGUCCAAAAUGGGUGGUAAAUUUCAUCUAAAGCUAAAUAUUGGCGAGAGACCGAUAGCGAACAAGUACCGUGAGGGAAAGAUGAAAAGAACUUUGAAGAGAGAGUUAAACAGUACGUGAAAUUGUCAAGAGGGAUGCGUUUGACACCAGUGUUGUUUUCUCGAAAAUCAAUUAAAAAUGGCCGGAUUUUGUGUUGUAUUGACUUUAUCAGCUUUCUGCACUUUUUUCUUGUCUUUUUUAAUGCACUUUUCGUUUAACAAGUCAACAUCAAUUUCUUUUGUUGUAAAAGAGUCAUUGGAAGGUGGCUUUCACUUCGGUGAAAGUGUUUAUAGCCUUUGACUUCUGCAAUCGGAGAGAUUGAGGUCUGCAGCGUAGAUCCUUCGGGGUUAGAUACAUUUGUGCUAAGUUAUAGUUUUUCAUAGACAACAUGUUGACUAUGAUUAAUCAUGUAGCUUACUCGCUUAUGCUAUUUUACCUACGCUUAGGAUGUUGAUGUGAUACUGCGAGCA